rnacentral:rRNA from 1 species
UACAGAGGUCCCAAGCGUUGUUCGGAUUCAUUGGGCGUAAAGGGUGCGUAGGUGGCGCGGUAAGUCGGGUGUGAAAUUUCGGAGCUUAACUCCGAAACUGCAUUCGAUACUGCCGUGCUUGAGGACUGGAGAGGAGACUGGAAUUUACGGUGUAGCAGUGAAAUGCGUAGAGAUCGUAAGGAAGACCAGUGGCGAAGGCGGGUCUCUGGACAGUUCCUGACGCUGAGGCACGAAGGUCAGGGGAGCAAACGGG